rnacentral:sRNA from 1 species
GUUCACUGGCGAAGGUCGAGGAUUUCCGAGGCGCUUCGCUCC